UACGUAGGGUGCAAGCGUUGUCCGGAAUUAUUGGGCGUAAAGAGCUUGUAGGCGGUUUGUCGCGUCUGCUGUGAAAACUCAGGGCUUAACCCUGAGCUUGCAGUGGGUACGGGCAGACUAGAGUGCGGUAGGGGAGACUGGAAUUCCUGGUGUAGCGGUGAAAUGCGCAGAUAUCAGGAGGAACACCGGUGGCGAAGGCGGGUCUCUGGGCCGUAACUGACGCUGAGGAGCGAAAGCAUGGGGAGCUAACAGG
rnacentral:rRNA from 1 species